rnacentral:rRNA from 1 species
CGGGGUGCACCAGGCGCGAAAACUUUACAAUGCUGGCAACAGCGAUAAGGGGACCUCGAGUGCCAGGAUACAAUCUUGGCUGUCGCGAUGCCUAAAAAGCAUUGCAUAGCAAGGGCCGGGCAAGACCGGUGCCAGCCGCCGCGGUAACACCGGCGGCUCGAGUGGUAACCGCUAUUAUUGGGUCUAAAGGGUCUGUAGCCGGCCGGAUAAGUCUUUUGGGAAAUCCAGCUGCUCAACAGUUGGGCUUUCAGAAGAUACUGUUCGGCUCGAGACCGGGAGAGGUGAGAGGUACUUCAGGGGUAGGGGUGAAAUCUUGUAAUCCUUGAAGGACCACCAGUGGCGAAGGCGUCUCACCAGAACGGAUCUGACGGCAAGGGACGAAAGCUAGGGGCACGAACCGGAUUAGAUACCCGGGUAGUCCUAGCCGUAAACGAUACUCGCUAGGUGUCAGCCACGGUGCGACCGUGGUUGGUGCCGUAGGGAAGCCGUGAAGCGAGCCACCUGGGAAGUACGGCCGCAAGGCUGAAACUUAAAGGAAUUGGCGGGGGAGCACAAGGGCGAAUUCGCG